CUCCAGACUCCUACGGGAGGCAGCAGUGGGGAAUAUUGGGCAAUGGGCGCAAGCCUGACCCAGCAACGCCGCGUGAAGGAAGAAGGCUUUCGGGUUGUAAACUUCUUUUAAGAGGGAAGAGAAGAAGACGGUACCUCUUGAAUAAGCCACGGCUAACUACGUGCCAGCAGCCGCGGUAAUACGUAGGUGGCAAGCGUUGUCCGGAUUUACUGGGUGUAAAGGGCGUGCAGCCGGGCUGACAAGUCAGAUGUGAAAUCCCGCGGCUCAACCGCGGAACUGCAUUUGAAACUGUUUCCCUUGAGUGUCGGAGAGGUAAUCGGGAUUCCUUGUGUAGCGGUGAAAUGCGUAGAUAUAAGGAGGAACACCAGUGGCGAAGGCGGCCUGCUGGACGACAACUGACGGUGAGGCGCGAAAGCGUGGGGAGCAAACAGGAUUAGAUACCCGGGUA
rnacentral:rRNA from 1 species